AUGGCUAAUCUUGCUGCCAGUGGCAGUGGAACUAGCUCAAGCUCCGUUCGUAACAGAGCCGUCUCUGAAGAUCACAAGGAGGAAAUGCAUAGUCCUGACUACGAAGAGCUUUUUAAGGGGUUGACUGAUUAUGCUGUGGAAGUGGAAGGCAUUGAAAUCGGCAACAGUUUACUUGUCGACGAGCACGACACCAAGGAUGGCAACGAGGUUGGCAUUGGCAUAGAUGCAGACAGCCUACCACCAGGCACAUAUGAACUCUUGCAGCUGGAGGAGGACGAGAUCCUGGCUCCGCACACCCACUUCUGCGCCAUCUGUGGCAAGGGCUUCAAGAGGGACGCGAACCUGCGGAUGCACAUGCACGGGCACGGCGACGAGUACAAGAGCCCUGCCGCGCUGGCCAAACCGCCUAGGGACGAGAGCUUGGACCACGCUGCCAUUGUGAAGAGGUACUCGUGCCCGGUCGCCGGGUGCAAGAGGAACAGGCUGCACAAGGGCUUCCUGCCCCUCAAGACGAUCCUGUGCGUCAAGAACCACUACAAGCGAAGCCACUGCGUGAAGAACUACACCUGCAGCCGGUGCCACGCCAAGAAAUUCUCUGUCAUGGCCGACCUCAAGACGCAUGAGAAGCACUGCGGCCAGGUCAGGUGGGUGUGCUCCUGCGGCACGACCUUCACGAGGAAGGACAAGCUGUUCACUCAUGUGGGUCUGUUCAAAGGCCACACACUGCUGUUGCCGGCAGACGAGCCUGAGGCUCACACCAGGUGGCUCACGCAGGAAGCCAUCAAGAACCAGCCAAGGGUAGUAGCUUGA
rnacentral:rRNA from 1 species